GAGAGAGUUAACUUAACUUGGUAGCUAUAUUCUCUAGGGUCGCUUAACUGUGGCUGUGGGGGAUGGACGCUACCUGUUGUUGCACUGACUGCGUUGAUCGUGCUUUCCGAACAGUGUAGCGUUGCCCACUUUGUGGUGUCUUGCUCGCUGGGAGGUUUGUCAUGGUUAACGUAUAGCCUUAGUCCCGAGGGAGUCAGUGUGAAAGUUAACCACCUUUCCGACCCGUCUUGAAACACGGACCGAGGAGUGUUGGUUAUACGCGAGUCAAGGAGUGGUGAAAACUCUAGGGGCGGAAUGAAAGUAAAGACUAGUUAACUAGUUGACAUGGGAUCCGCUCUUCGGAGCGGCGCACCAUGGCCCUGUCUUGUCUGCUUGCAGAUGGGCAGCGGUAGAGCGUAUAGCUUGCGACCCGAAAGAUGGUGAACUAUGCUUGAGCAGGACGAAGCCAGAGGAAACUCUGGUGGAAGUCCGUAUCGGUUCUGACGUGCAAAUCGAUCGAUAGACUUGAGUAUAGGGGCGAAAGACUAAUCGAACUAUCUAGUAGU
rnacentral:rRNA from 1 species